GAAAAUGUAACUCAGUUAGGUAGAGUGUUGUUCUUUUAAAACAAACGUCACUGGUUCGACCCCAGUCAUUUUCA